rnacentral:rRNA from 1 species
UGGGGAAUUUUGGACAAUGGGCGAAAGCCUGAUCCAGCAAUGCCGCGUGUGUGAAGAAGGCCUUCGGGUUGUAAAGCACUUUUGUCCGGAAAGAAAUGGCUCUGGUUAAUACCUGGGGUCGAUGACGGUACCGGAAGAAUAAGGACCGGCUAACUACGUGCCAGCAGCCGCGGUAAUACGUAGGGUCCAAGCGUUAAUCGGAAUUACUGGGUGUAAAGCGUGCGCAGGCGGUUGUGCAAGACCGAUGUGAAAUCCCCGAGCUUAACUUGGGAAUUGCAUUGGUGACUGCACGGCUAGAGUGUGACAGAGGGGGGUAGAAUUCCACGUGUAGCAGUGAAAUGCGUAGAGAUGUGGAGGAAUACCGAUGGCGAAGGCAGCCCCCUGGGAUAACACUGACGCUCAUGCACGAAAGCGUGGGGAGCAAACAGG